AAGCUGCACGUGGUUUGAAACCAUCAAGCCCAACAAGCUGCAGGCUGCCAGACUGGAAGAAAACACUGGAAGAGAAGCUGUCGUUGUUGUUUGCCACACAAUAUACACCUUUUUUUUAAACGGAACUACACUCAGAGAGCGGGCUGGCCGCUGGCGGACUCAGCUGAGGGACACUGGAGCCAGCAGGCCGUUUUUUGGAGCGCGGACGAGAAGUAGCAGGGUGAGUCCCGAACACAGCACAACCCUUCUCACUCGGGGUGAGAUGAGAAGAUGGAGACCACUCCUAGCAGAUGGUUAGCUAAGCUUGGCACAAAAACUGGAAACGGGGGCCAACAUCUACCCUGGUUCAGUCCAAAGAAGCACAAUAUGACAACGGGGGGAAACAAGGCAAUUGUUUCACAAUGAUGACAUCACAAUCACAGGUGCUUAAAGGCCAACAGAGGGUGGGACACGAGAACAGGAGACGGAUCAGGUAAUCGUCACUGAUACCGUGCGGACGUGAACAGUGUCCGGGCCAGAGAACCGCAGCACUGUGAUACACUUAGAGAAACACAACACUCUUCACACAGACGAAAAAAGGUGAGACAUACACUGAGUGACAGUACAGCUAUGUUAUACCUACUAUAAAGGUAAAGGGAAUUAUGUUUUAAAAAGUUUAUGAAUACAUUUUGCGGAUAAUCUGCUAAUAACUCACCGUCUUGCAGACAAUCUGUUGAAAUCAUAAAUAUGAAAGUAAGAUGAGGACAUGUAAGCGCACAUAAUAAAUGUUGGGAUAAAAAUGUAAGAAAUGGAGAAUGUGUGUGUGGCUGUAUUCAAGAAUUUAGAUUUAUUUUUAUCAGCAAAACUUUAACUCCGCACAGAGAGAUUACUGUGCUUGUUUGAUUUUUGCUUCCUUGACUGUGAUUUGAAUAACAUUGUAAGUACAGACAAUGUAUUCCAGCACUGUGGGACUGCAGCUCAUUCUGUAGCUCUGAAUUUGUCCAGCAGAGGGAGUCAUGUCAUUUAGUGUGUGUGUGUGUGUGCACCUAGGCCAGAAUUGAAUACUUCACUUGCACAUACAUACAUAUACUUCAUUUGCUCCUACGUGCAUAACAUGUGUGCAUAAGUAUUUACAUAUGUUCA